AAGAGAGGGAGGAAGUACGGGAGGAGGUUCUGCUCGGUUUCCCUCAGCUCCCCUUGUCUACAGGAGACACGGGCAGCCCGUGCGGGUGUGGGGACGGUGGUGCCCCUGCGCAGGCUACGGCCCAGGCCUCCCGCCUCGCUGGUCUGCGGCGGGACAGUUUAGGGGGCGAGCGGUGGCGUGAGCGGGAAGCGAACAGCUCGGGGGGGAAUUUUGCUUUCGGAGCGGCGGUGUUUGUGGCUGGCAACUCGGCUGAAUUGCUACUACUGGUGUAAGGACAUCGCUGUGAAGACAUCAUAGUGAUAGUUCGCCUUGAUCACCAGAACAAACUCCACAAGAGAUGGGAGACAGCAGCAGCUGGAAGCUGAGAACCAGUACGUGGAGGCUGAUCAAGACCUUCACAAAAGGACAGGACGUUCCGUGCAGCCACCCACAGAAAGACCUGGGGAGAGGCGAAUGGCAGAAAUGAAGAGGCUGUAUGGUGCUGAAGCUGAAAAAAUCCAGGCAAUGGAGGCUGCCAUGCAGCUUAUCUUUGAUAGAAACUGUGACAAAAAGCAGCCCAAAUACUGGCCUAUUAUUCCCCUUAAGCUGUGAGUACCUGAUCUGUGCUCUGACCUGGCACAGGUCUGUAGGGAUGGCUGCCUCUGUCAGGUUGUACUGCUGAAAGAAACAAGUGCAAAUUUUGGGUUUGGCUGGUCUUUGGGGCAGAGACCGGCAAGGGCAGCAUCUUUCUUGCCUGUCAGUGAUGGUCACAGUCCAUUCUACCUACAUACAGUUGUCAAGUAGUCAAUAGCUAUUGUCCAGCUGUCAAUAGGAGGGACAGUAACAUAAACCUGUCCAAAGUCAUAGUUUCACUCAUUUGAUACCUGCCUGCCUUGACCAUGCUUGCAAGAAAAAUAACAAUGUCUAUAGUCAGUGAACCGGGAAAACUUAAAGCAGUGCGGUAAAGAAAAAUGACUAUACAAAUUGUCUGCUUUUCCCAUUUAGGAAAUGAGUGAUCCCAUUUUUCAGUCUCACCUAACAUAGUAGCAUUUGGAUCCUGUUUAACACAGCACAGCCUGAAGUGUUAUGUCUGCUGAGCUUGGACUUUUUUUUUUUGAGAACCAGGAGUCCACUGGCCAAGAUACAAUAUAUUAAAUUACUGUAGCCCAGCCAUUUGAAUUCUUUUUCAAAGGUUUAUAAUGAAAGCAGGAAAUUUUUGUUCCAGACUGAUACUUGUCUGGCAGGAGUUUGACUCUAAAGAAAUAUUAUAUCAAAAAAUGUUUUAAUGAAAGGGGUGGGGGGAAUUGGGGAGAAGCCUGAUGUGGUCCUGUCUGUCAGAGAUCUAUUUAGCAGAAGAGAAACUUAAGAGGACAAAGCACUCUUGAGGCCAGUGCCUACAGUGAAUUUUGCCAUUCUAAUAAAAAGCAUGUAAUUGGCUUAAAGAAGACAUAUUAGUUUGAUAGAUAAGGGUACAUCUGUAUGCUCUAUAUGGAGGUGUGGAAGCCAUGUAGCCCUGAGGGCUAUGUUUAUUUUAGGUGCAGCUUUCCAAUGCCCACCUGCAUAUUACAUGCACAAAGCUUAAACAUAGGCAAGUUAGAUGUGCCUCUGUGUGUGUACUUAUCCACCUGUACAGGCUCCACUUCUGGCACUCUCUGCUUUUGGUCGGUUGUGCUUGCCCCACUAAUCGCUGACCGGGUGGAGUGAGGCACACAAGUGGUCUGUGUAAGAGAGGCAGAACUGGCCCCUCAGUGCUGGUGGCUACCUUAGAAGAUGGUACCCUGGAUGCUUCCAAGGACAUUCUGUGAAGUACUGCUGCUACGCAUCAUUCUGUGCUGAAGGGCUGUAGUUUGUAUUAAGCAGCAUUUCCAUGCCAGGGCAAAGGAACCUGACGCUGUUCUACUUGUGACAAAGAUUCAUAUGCCUUUCUGGCAAUAGAGGCAGGUCACAACUUAAAUUCUAACUUCAGUUCAUGCCCACUAUGUCUGGUGUAUCUCUGUGGCAUGUGUAGUUUGUAAUACACACCAGCAGUUGCUGUGCCCUCUGCAGCAAACAGCUGCACCAAAGUAAGUCUGUGGUGUAGUCUGGAGUAUCUUUGGUUUUACUAAUAAGCAACAUUUUAGUUUCAGUUCCACCUCCUUCACUUUAGGUGUGACACAAUGGAGUUAAAUUGAACACUGAACUUAAAAGCCCCAGUCUCCAAGACUUAUUACUGGUGUGAUUAAUCUGAAAUACUUGUGUGAGACAGGAGGGGAAGAAGUUUAUGAACAGUCCUGCAUUUGUCUUCGCUCUUGUUUUUGGCGGGUUUUGUCAGAAAUUCAGUGUUUUGCAUGGAUUUCCAUUUGGUCACCAAAUAAAUUCUCUUUUUAAAACCUUG